AUUGAACGCUGGCGGCAGGCCUAACACAUGCAAGUCGAACGAGUGGCGGACGGGUGAGUAAGGUCUGGGACACUGCCUGAUGGAGGGGGAUCACUACUGGAAACGGUAGCUAAUACCGCCUACAAUCAGCUGUGCCCAGAUGGGAUUAGCUUGUUGGUGGGGUAACGGCUUACAACGGCGACGAUCCCUAGCUGGUCUGAGAGGAUGACCAGCCACACUGUAACUGAGACACGGUCCAGACUCCUACGGGAGGCAGCAGUGGGGAAUAUUGCACAAUGGGCGCAAGCCUGAGGCAGCCAUGCCGCGUGUAUGAAGAAGGCCUUCGGGUUGUAAAGUACUUUCAGCGGGGAGGCGUUACCCGCAGAAGAAGCACCGGCUAACUCCGUGCCAGCAGCCGCGGUAAUUC
rnacentral:rRNA from 1 species